AAGCCAUGCAUGUCUAAGUAUAAGCAAUCUAUACAGUGAAGCUGCGAAUGGCUCAUUAAAUCAGUUAUCGUUUAUUUGAUAGUACCUUACUACUUGGAUAACCGUGGUAAUUCUAGAGCUAAUACAUGCUAAAAACCUCGACUUCGGAAGGGGUGUAUUUAUUAGAUAAAAAACCAAUGCCCUUCGGGGCUCCUUGGUGAUUCAUGAUAACUUAACGAAUCGCAUGGCCUUGUGCCGGCGAUGGUUCAUUCAAAUUUCUGCCCUAUCAACUUUCGAUGGUAGGAUAGUGGCCUACCAUGGUUU
rnacentral:rRNA from 1 species